GUGGGGAAUUUUGGACAAUGGGCGCAAGCCUGAUCCAGCAAUGCCGCGUGCAGGAAGAAGGCCUUCGGGUUGUAAACUGCUUUUGUACGGAACGAAACGGUCCGGGUUAAUACCCUGGGCUAAUGACGGUACCGUAAGAAUAAGCACCGGCUAACUACGUGCCAGCAGCCGCGGUAAUACGUAGGGUGCAAGCGUUAAUCGGAAUUACUGGGCGUAAAGCGUGCGCAGGCGGUGCUGUAAGACAGGCGUGAAAUCCCCGGGCUCAACCUGGGAAUUGCGCUUGUGACUGCAGUGCUGGAGUGCGGCAGAGGGGGAUGGAAUUCCGCGUGUAGCAGUGAAAUGCGUAGAUAUGCGGAGGAACACCGAUGGCGAAGGCAAUCCCCUGGGCCUGCACUGACGCUCAUGCACGAAAGCGUGGGGAGCAAACAGGAUUAGAUACCCGGGUAGUCC
rnacentral:rRNA from 1 species